rnacentral:rRNA from 1 species
AUUGAACGCUGGCGGCAGGCCUAACACAUGCAAGUCGAGCGAGCGGCGGACGGGUGAGGAAUGUCUGGGAAACUGCCUGAUGGAGGGGGAUAACUAGUGGAAACGGUAGCUAAUCACGCAUACCAUCAGAUGUGCCUAGAUGGGAUUAGCUGGUAGGUGGGGUAACGGCUCACCUAGGCGACGAUCCCUAGCUGGUCUGAGAGGAUGACCAGCCACACUGGAACUGAGACACGGUCCAGACUCCUACGGGAGGCAGCAGUGGGGAAUAUUGCACAAUGGGCGCAAGCCUGAUGCAGCCAUGCCGCGUGUGUGAAGAAGGCCUUCGGGUUGUAAAGCACUUUCAGCGGGGAGGCGUUACCCGCAGAAGAAGCACCGGCUAACUCCGUGCCAGCAGCCGCGGUAAUAC